UACGAACCGUACAAACGUUAUUCGGAAUCACUGGGCGUAAAGGGCGCGUAGGCGGCCUGGUAAGUAGGGGGUGAAAUCCUGCGGCUUAACCGCAGGGCUGCCUUCUAAACUGUCAGGCUUGAGCACGGUAGAGGCAGAUGGAAUUCCCGGUGUAGCGGUGGAAUGCGUAGAGAUCGGGAAGAACAUCAGUGGCGAAGGCGGUCUGCUGGGCCGUUGCUGACGCUGAGGCGCGACAGCGUGGGGAGCAAACAGG
rnacentral:rRNA from 1 species